UUUGUUCUCUUUAGUUUUCAGGGAUUGUUUUCUCUGAGUAAUUGUUCUUUAAAAACUGGAUAAUAGACAUCUUUUAAAAAAAUAAGAUAAUUUUUAUCUUGCAAU
rnacentral:misc_RNA from 1 species